rnacentral:rRNA from 1 species
GAUCAUGGCUCAGGAUGAACGCUGGCGGCGUGCCUAACACAUGCAAGUCGAACGAAGCUUGACGGAUGAUUUCUUCGGAAUGAAACCAGAUAUGACUUAGUGGCGGACGGGUGAGUAACACGUGAGCAACCUGCCUUUCAGAGGGGGAUAACGGCUGGAAGCGGUCGCUAAUACCGCAUGAUGUGUUCGGAUGGCAUCAUCUGAACAUAACGAAUUAUU